GAGCCUCGGGCUCGAGCCUUUUGUCUCCCCGUAGCUCCGUGGGUCCGGAAGGCGACUGUGUCCGCCCCUCCCGCCCCUCCCAGAGCGCAGCCCGGCGGAAGUCUAGCCCUGGGGCCGGAGCCGGGUCCGCAGCGCGUCCGGGGUGAAUAAGGAGGAAGUCAUAGCAAUAACAGGACAACAAAGAGAAGCUGAUCAUGGAUUAUCUGACUAUUGAAGUUGAAGGAAAGCUGUGACUACUGAGGAUGCUUCUCUGCCCCAAAAACAGAGCACAGAAGAAGUGGAGCCUACCGUAGAGCCCCUUCCUGUUGAGUUCCAGG